CGACAGAUCUGAAACUUCAUUCUCAUCUCUCAUAUCUCUCAUCACUCCCAUCUCUCUCCAAGCUUACUGUUUCUCUCAUCACUCCUAUCUCUUUGCACGCCUCUCUCAUCUCUCCCAUAUUUCUCCCAUCGCAUCUUCUCUUCGUCUCCCAUCACUCCCAUCGCAUCGCACCCCCACAACCACCACCGCGGUCGCCCUCCCACCACCGCCACGUUCGCCCUCCCACCACCGCCACGUGAGGAGUCAAGGAUCUUGGUGGCUGCAGUAGGCAAGGUUCAUGGCGGCUUGAGGACGGCGGCCAGGAGGAGGCAAACUCAUGACUGUUGGAAGAGGGGCAAGGGCUGCAAGGCCGUAGAGGAGGCGGCGGCUGCAGUCUUAGUUUUUUAGGUUUAGUUUUUUUUUUCUUUUUAAAUUUGGUUUAGUGUAAACCGGGUUGGGGAAAUUGUAGUGGUCUAAAUUUAUUUUUAAUUUCUGGUUUAGUAAUGUAAACCCAAGUUAAUUUGUAACCCAAUUUUAAUUUAUAAAUAAAAUUUAUUUCAUUUUCA